AUGGACUUUUCCCAUUUUCGUUCAAUCUGCAGGGUGCUCUGCAACAACAUAACAAUGACAACUGUGCCUUCAGCUGGCUGCCUUUUAGCCAAGAACCACUAUUACAGAACACGAUUGAAUUCUGAAUCCAGUGUUUCUUCAAGCAGUUCAUCUUCCUCUUCUGAUCCCAUGCCAUUCUCAGACCAGGAAAAAAAUCAUCAUGGCCUACCUGAAAUAUUUGAAAAGUGCUGGUGGAUAAAAAGCUUUUUUCAUAGUGAGCCAACACCUCCAAAUGUAGGCAGAAAAACCUUAUCAGCCAGCAGUACUAACAGCUGAUUGGGAUAUCAAGUUGAAAGUUCCUGCUGGGACAUUAUAGACAGUCAUGUCUUGAAAUGAAUUCACUUCUGUGAAGAAAAUGAACUACUUGAGGAUUCAGUUGUAGAAGAAAUACAGAUUAUCAAGGAUUUAAUCAGAGCUUAUUCAACAAGCAACCAUCUUUACAGUGUCUGCUGCAAGAAUUCUUGAUAAUGAACAGGUGUCCUAUGUUUCAUAAUUUUUGUGUUUCACAAGAGAAAAUGCAAAUGCAAAGUGUAGUGGGAUAUGGUAUAUCUGAUGAUUUGGGAUAUCUUUUACUAAACUGAAAUGCUGUAGAUUUUUUGGGUCAAAAUCUUUUAAUGUUAACAUGCAUUUUAUACAAUGGUGCCUUUUUACUUAGCAAAAUAUACCACCUCUUUCCACAGAAUUUAAGUUUGGAAUGUUAACUAUAAUAAUCUUCUACUCAUGAAUAAUUUACUUAAAUGCCAAAUACAAAUUUCUCUUACUUGUCAACAGCUAGAAGAAAGCUGGUUAAGGCAUUAUUUAUGAUCCACAUUAAAAAACAAAAAUGGAAUAUACAUAGUAUUAAACUCCUUAUCUGAUUCUAAUUCUACUAUUUGCAUUGGAGCUUUAUUUCAUAGGUAUGUUACUAUUGUAUAUUACUGCUUUGACAUCAAAUAGUGUACAAUUUAUAUCAACUCUUCAAAUUAGAGAUAAUUUAAAAAACUCUGGAUUAAUUUUUAUUUUAUUUUUGAUGUAUACUAUUCUGUUUCAAAGCAUAGGAAAAAAACAGACCCAUGUUCUGCUUUGUAGGAGUUGUAAGUUUUAUUUACUUAUAAGGAAUAUAUAUUUGUAUCACAUGAGAAAAUCUGUGAGUGCUGAAUAUUCUAAAUUGAAUUAUUUAAUAUAUUGAUGAUGCUUCUAAUGUUCCUUUGUUAUCCUUUUAUUCUUCUGAUUAAUUAUACACAAUGUUCUGUAGUAUGAAUGAAUAGUAACAUCAAGUUUGAACAAUUUUGCUUUAUCAAAUUAUUACUUACCUGGAUGCAAUAUUGCUGACUGCAUACCUGGAUGCAUAAUGCUUUAAACACACACACACACACACACACACACACACACACACACACACACACACUGUAUACCCCUCUAGUGGAAAGAGAUUAAUAUAGCACAAUAAAAUAUAAACACGCAGUAAGUCUGUUCUUUAA
rnacentral:lncRNA from 1 species